CAGCCGCCACGGUAAGACAGAGGAUGCAAGCGUUAUCCGGAAUGAUUGGGCGUAAAGCGUGCGUAGGCGGCUUUUUAAGUCGGAUGUGAAAUCCCUGAGCUUAACUUAGGAAUUGCAUUCGAUACUGGGAAGCUAGAGUAUGGGAGAGGAUGGUAGAAUUCCAGGUGUAGCGGUGAAAUGCGUAGAGAUCUGGAGGAAUACCGAUGGCGAAGGCAGCCAUCUGGCCUAAUACUGACGCUGAGGUACGAAAGCAUGGGGAGCAAACAGGAUUAGAUACCCCCGUAGUCCCUGUCUCUUAUAU
rnacentral:rRNA from 1 species